AAAACUGAUUAUUGAUGAKCUGAAUAUUUAAUUUCAGGCCAUAAUCCUGUCACCUUAGGUCGAUCGGUACCUCAGAUUAGAUAAUUUGAGAUGAGUAAUCAAUUCUUAUUUUCUAAUUUCAGUUCCUAAACUUGUCUAGGUCACACCCAACUAAACUUUCUCCUGGGCUAUUAGCUCAGGCGGUUAGAGCGCACCCCUGAUAAGGGUGAGGUCCCUGGUUCAAGUCCAGGAUGGCCCAUUCGUUGUUGGGGGUAUAGCUCAGUUGGUAGAGCGCCUGCUUUGCAAGCAGGAUGUCAGCGGUUCGAGUCCGCUUACCUCCACUGAUCAACUACCUGAUAACUCAAUUGGAGAUUGUGAUUUGUUUAAGUGAUUUAGAUGUUGUUCUUCUGAAUGAACCUAGCUUCCUAUCAUUCCUUAAUAUUUUAGGUUGAUAAGACGCUGGGCUCACUGAUAAAUUUAUCAGUUUGAUUCAGCAGAACCUUGACAACUGCAUAGGAUAAAGUCUGGAAAAAAAGCAUCUCAUAGAUGUAUGGAAGAUUUGAUUUAGAAAUUCUGAAUUAAAUUUUCUUUUUAAAUUCUUGAGUUAGAGCAAAAGUCUAUUUCUGAUUAAUUCAGUUGAUAGAUACAUUAUUGGUCAAGCUACAAAGGGCUCACGGUGGAUACCUUGGCACACAGAGGCGACGAAGGACGUAGUUACCUGCGAUAAGUCUCGGGGAGCUGGAAGCACGCUUUGAUC
rnacentral:misc_RNA from 1 species